AAAAGUAGAACUCAGGUGCUUGCGAAAACGAUCUCGUUAUUCCUUUAUAGGGCGAUGUCAACUCCUAUAAGUUUGGUGAGUUUGUUACACGUGUUCCUCACAUUCAGCUAUGACUUCUUUCUCGAUUAUUCGCGUUACGAGAUACACAGCCAGAUAUGCGGAGUCUUUUUGACUUGGCCUUCGAUCUAAGCCAAAUAUAUUUUAUGCGCAGACGUUACUUUACGAGAUUUC
rnacentral:lncRNA from 1 species